UGUGGCUCAGUGGUAGAGUGCUUGCCUGGCAUGUGCAAAGGCCCUGGGUUCCAUCCCCAGCA
rnacentral:tRNA from 1 species